rnacentral:rRNA from 1 species
CACGUAGGGCGCAAGCGUUGUCCGGAAUUAUUGGGCGUAAAGAGCUCGUAGGUGGUUUGUUACGUCUGCUGUGAAAACCUAGGGCUUAACCCUGGGCUUGCAGUGGGUACGGGCAGACUAGAGUGUGGUAGGGGAGGACUGGAAUUCCUGGUGUAGCGGUGAAAUGCGCAGAUAUCGGGAGGAACACCAAUGGCGAAGGCAGCCUCGCUGGGACGGUACUGACGCUGAGGCGCGAAAGCGUGGGGAGCAAACAGG